rnacentral:rRNA from 1 species
CGGCACGGUGAGUAACACGUAUGCAACCUGCCUGCCACAGCCGGAUAAUCGGGAGAAAUUCCGUCUAAUACGGCAUAAUGCAUCGACGGGACAUCCUGUUGGUGCCAAAGGUUAAUUCCGGUGGCGGAUGGGCAUGCGUCGCAUUAGUUAGUUGGCGGUGUAACGGACCACCAAGACGACGAUGCGUAGGGGUUCUGAGAGGAAGGUCCCCCACACUGGUACUGAGACACGGACCAGACUCCUACGGAAGGCAGCAG